AAGAAUUAAGAAACUCACAAAGCGCCAAGUAAAAUACAUUUUUCUCGUCCUCAACAUGAAGGUAUGAACUAAUCAUUUCUGAAAUAUCCAAACAAUAGUGUAAAAACUCCAAAUUAUUAAACGUUUUUGCACAUCGAAUGGAAGCUUCUAAAACUGAAAUGACAAGUUUGGUUUGGGCAACAUGCUUAGCAUUUUCAACACUAAGGACAGAAUUACGGAGGACUAAAGCAAUUCCGAUUGCUCUAUCCAUACAAAGUGAAAUGUCUGUUAGGUCUGAAACUUGCUUGGCUUUUGUGACUUGGAAUCCUAGACUGUAAACUAAACACUCUGCAAGUGACGGUAAUCUUUCCAACUUAAACUCCUGAUGCCUUUCAAAGGAAAUUUUGAUAAGAUGACCAAUAGCCCAGUCAACUUCUUUGUCUUGCUGAGACUUUAGGGCCAGCGCAACACGCACUAGCAAUGGAGGACCAGGGACGCCAGCACCCAAAGCCGGAGGUGUCAAAUUUGAAUUACGGUCAAUAUACUUUUGCAAACCUGAAUCCACGGGUAAGGGAUGGAAGGGCACUGAAGGAAAAGUUGUAGAUGCAAAAUUUGUAGAAUUUGGAAGAGGUUGAGAAGCAGAAGAGUUCAUAGCUUCAUUUAUUUUUUUUUCAAUACCAUUCUCUUCGUCCUCCUUAACAAGGCUUUUAUAAAAUUUUUUAAAAGAAUGAGUCUUAUCAUUGUCUAUAAUGGUAAUUGGAUUCGUUGGCUUAGGUGGAGAACAAGAAUUAAAAACCUUUACACGUUCAAGAACGUUCUGCCUGUUUUCACUUAGUUCUAACGUAGAAGGAGGAGGUAAUAAUAGGUGCCAAUGAUCAUGAAUUUCCCAUGAAAUUAAAUAUUUGAAAUACACAUUUUGCAAUAUGCCAGCAGAUCUAGCCGGGUCGGACUGAUUGAAUUCUUCUGCAAUAUUCGUCCAACCGUCUUCAGUCGCACUGACAGCAUCAUAACCGCCGCGUUUAAUGACCUUUUUAUAAAGCUCAUAUAAUAAAAUAGGUUUUCGCCCAAUUUUAGGAUUGAUAUCUAUUGGAACGCUAAAAAGGAUUAGAAGUGGUACACAUAGAGAAUUAAAAUAAGGAUUACCUACCCUCUUUCUUGGGAGAAAGACUCAAUUAGGCUUAAGAAAGAGUCAUUUUCGUUUGUCAAUGAUUUAUUACUAUAAACCGGCUCUUCUACUGCUCCCUGAAUGACUUGUGACAUGAAGCGCGCGUCGUAAAGUAAGUAGGUGGUCAAAAGUAGUAUAACGAAACCUUUCACAACUUUUCGAAAUACUAAGUGGGGGAGACCUUGGGCAGUUGAAAUGAAUACAUGGGGUAGGCAAUUUACAACAACGAACACUACAUUUCACUAUACUAUGCUGUAUUAAAUGUAUUACAUGUCCCCAUGUUCUUCUUUGUAUGAGUAACUGGUUCUACCGAUACAACAAGCUUUCUUUGAAUUUUGAUUUUUAAAUAAAAUUUCAU